CCUGUCAAAAGGGCUCUCCAGCGAAAACUCCUAGCCCUUUUAUUUACACGUUUUAUCUUGUGUAUAUCACAUAUCAGGUUUGAAAACGUAGCAAAGUGGUUUACAGCGCCAACCAACAACCGCUGGAGUAGACAUUACGAGCAUGAACUCUGAAGUCCCAGGCCCCCAGGUCCCAGUGCUGGAUAUUACAUCAGCACAUGGCAGAGAAGCAUGAAAAGAUGUAGGGCUCCCUCCAGGACCAAGUGAAAACCACAGGAAGGAUCUCCAGAGGCCUGCCACAUCAACAAAGGGAGUAUACUUGGCCUGGAUGCAAAGAGGAGGAACAAAAAACUGUGUCGAGACGAAAAAAAUGUAAGAUUCGACCACAGAGGGGGGAAAAAAG